CCUACGGGCGGCAGCAGUGGGGAAUAUUGGACAAUGGGCGAAAGCCUGAUCCAGCCAUGCCGCGUGUGCGAAGAAGGCCUUCGGGUUGUAAAGCACUUUCAGUGGGGAAGAAAGCCUUGGGGCUAAUACCCUCGAGGAAGGACAUCACCCACAGAAGAAGCACCGGCUAACUCCGUGCCAGCAGCCGCGGUAAUACGGAGGGUGCGAGCGUUAAUCGGAAUUACUGGGCGUAAAGCGCGCGUAGGCGGUCUGAUAAGCCGGUUGUGAAAGCCCCGGGCUCAACCUGGGAACGGCAUCCGGAACUGUCAGGCUAGAGUGCAGGAGAGGAAGGUAGAAUUCCCGGUGUAGCGGUGAAAUGCGUAGAGAUCGGGAGGAAUACCAGUGGCGAAGGCGGCCUUCUGGACUGACACUGACGCUGAGGUGCGAAAGCGUGGGUAGCAAACAGGAUUAGAUACCCGAGUAGUC
rnacentral:rRNA from 1 species